rnacentral:rRNA from 1 species
AUGUGUAUUCCAAAGAAGAAUGGAGGAAUGGGGUUCAAGGACUUGCAUGCUUUUAAUUUAGCUUUAGUGAAACAGAGUUGGAGGUUGAUCACUAAACCAAAUACUCUUUGUGCAAGUGUCCUUAAAGCAAAGUAUUACACAGAUGGCAAUUUACUAAAGGCAGGGCCUAAAAAGGGAUCAUCGUCUGCGUGGCAGAGUAUAAUUGCUGGCCUUCGUACCUUUAUGAGAGGUCACAUAUGGAGAGUUGGUUCUGGAGCAAGUAUUAAUAUUUGGGAGGACCAUUGGGUGCCUAGUAGUCCAAGCAGGAAGGUGAUAACUCCAAAGGGACACUGUUUGAUGCAAACAGUGGAUGAGUUGAUUGACCCAUAUACGGGACAAUGGGAUGAGCUGCUGGUUAGAGACAACUUUCUUAGUGUGGACGCAGAAAGAAUUUUACAGAUUCCCUUGAUCUCUAACAUGAAUUAUGAUUUCGUUGCAUGGCAGUUCACAAAAUCGUAUAUGUUUUCUGUUCGCUCAGCAUACUAUGUUGACUGGGAACACCAGUACGGUGCACGAACUAGAAGAAGUGAUGGGCAAGGAUCAAUGAAUAUUAAUCCUGUUUGGGACAUUUUGUGGAGACUCCAACUACCAAGUAAGGUAAAAAUCUUUGCCUGGCAUGCUUUGCAUGGGAUUGUCCCUGGUAUGGCAGUACUAGCAUAUCGACAUAUUAAGGUUCAACCGCAAUGUCCUGUGUGUAAGCAAGGAGCAGAAGGUAUGCGCCAUUUGAUGUUCACAUGUAGAAGGGCAAAACAAGUGUGGACAGAACUGGGAAUGCAACCGUUAAUA